rnacentral:lncRNA from 1 species
GCUGGAGAGCGGCGGACGCCCACCCCCGCGCCGCCUCACCCCAGGGACCCGCCCGGCCGCCCUCCGCGCGCCGCCCGCGCCCACGACUCGCCACCGCCCCCCUCGGGCGGCGGCCGGAGCAGCAGCGAGCGGAGAACCAGCUUCGGGGUCCAGGCCAGCGACCAUGCGGCUGGAGGGAGGAUGGGGCCGCGGCGAGCGCCUGGCUGUGCUGUCAGGUUUACGAAGAGGCUGGAGCCGAAGGAAAAUUAGGUAGACCCUUGGGCAGAUUUGAGCAGAACCAAGACUACAGGUUGUUAACCUUUCACAAAUUUGAUUGUUACUAGCAACUGAGUGUUGCUACACUUCAGGAAGUUGGUGUCACUGUCUUGAAAACGAGAUCUUGUGCCAUAAAUGCAGCGCAGGACAUGUUUAUGUUCUUACCGGCACUGAAAUAUUAAAAGACUGGGGAGAUUCUGUGACUAUGACAAGGAAGAGAAUGAUUCCACGUAGAAGAUGCAAUCAGAGUUCUCCAGAGUGGUAAAUCUGAACACGCAGAGAAUCUGGAAAGCGAAAGCUGGGUUUUUCCAGGGCAAUGCAAACUGCAUGGCCCGUUCCCUCCAGACCACUUGUUUGUGGCUGCACAGACCUCUGGUUACGCCGAGUGAAACAGAAGGAGAAAAGACUGACACCAUGAACGACCGUGCGAGAGAAGCGGCUUUAUUGUCCUUGGCAGCAUCUGAAGGAGGCUUGCAAACCGAAUUUGCCAUGCAGGGCUUUCAAACAACUUAUGAGGGAAGAGAUGGGAGGAAAAUCCUUCGAAUGAGACGUGGGCUGGGACAGCGAGCGAGCUCUUCCUAUGUCUGCCUACACGGGGGAGAAGCUAGAUGGUUCCUGUAUAUGAGACUGCUUCCACCGGAAAAUACUGGCACAAACACUUGGGGUUUGUCUUGUACAUGGCAUUCCAAGAGGUGGUAAUGCAGGAUCCUAUUUUAUAUACUUUUUUUUUUUUUUUUUUUUUUUACAGAUUUUAUUUUUCCUUUUUCUCCCCAAAGCCCCCCGGUACAUAGUUGUAUAUUCUUCGUUGUGGGUCCUUCUAGUUGUGGCAUGUGGGACGCUGCCUGAGCGUGGUUUGAUGAGCAGUGCCAUGUCCGCGCCCAGGAUUCGAACCAACGAAACACUGGGCCGCCUGCAGCGGAGCGCGCGAACUUAACCACUCGGCCACGGGGCCAGCCCCCCUAUUUUAUAUACUUUUAAACUAUUAUUUUGACGUAUGAAAUAUGCAUACAGGGCCCGCCCGGUGGCAUAGUGGUUAAGUUUGCUCUCUCCACUUCAGUGGCCCAGGGUUCCCA